AUACGGAGGAUGCAAGCGUUAUCCGGAUUCAUUGGGUUUAAAGGGUGCGUAGGCGGAAUAAUAAGUCAGCGGUGAAAGCCUGUGGCUCAACCAUAGAAUUGCCAUUGAUACUGUUAUUCUUGAGUAUAGUUGAAGUAGGCGGAAUGUGUAAUGUAGCGGUGAAAUGCUUAGAUAUUACACAGAACACCAAUUGCGAAGGCAGCUUACUAAGCUGUUACUGACGCUGAGGCACGAAAGCGUGGGGAGCAAACAGGAUUAGAUACCCUGGUAGUCCACGCUGUAAACGAUGAUCACUCGUUGUUGGCGAUAAACUGUCAGCGACUGAGCGAAAGCAAUAAGUGAUCCACCUGGGGAGUACGGCGGCAACGCUGA
rnacentral:rRNA from 1 species